UUAUUGGAGAGUUUGAUCCUGGCUCAGGACGAACGCUGGCGGCGUGCCUAAUACAUGCAAGUCGA
rnacentral:rRNA from 1 species